UACAGAGGUCUCAAGCGUUGUUCGGAUUCAUUGGGCGUAAAGGGUGCGUAGGUGGCGCCGUAAGUCAGGUGUGAAAUUUCGGGGCUCAACCCCGAAACUGCACUUGAUACUGCGGUGCUCGAGUACUGGAGAGGAGAUUGGAAUUUACGGUGUAGCAGUGAAAUGCGUAGAUAUCGUAAGGAAGACCAGUGGCGAAGGCGAAUCUCUGGACAGUUACUGACACUGAGGCACGAAGGCCAGGGGAGCAAACGGG
rnacentral:rRNA from 1 species